rnacentral:rRNA from 1 species
AUACGUAGGGGGCGAGCGUUGUCCGGAAUGAUUGGGCGUAAAGGGCGCGUAGGCGGCGCGGUAAGUCUGGAGUGAAAGUCCUGCUUUCAAGGUGGGAAUUGCUUUGGAUACUGCCGCGCUUGAGUGCAGGAGAGGUUAUCGGAAUUCCCGGUGUAGGGGUGAAAUGCGUAGAGAUCGGGAGGAACACCAGUGGCGAAGGCGGGUAACUGGACCGCAACUGACGCUGAGGCGCGAAAGUGUGGGGAGCAAACAGGAUUAGAUACCCUGGUAGUCCACACUGUAAACGAUGAAUGCUAGGUGUAAGAGGUAUCGACCCCUUUUGUGCCGGAGUCGACACAAUAAGCAUUCCGCCUGGGGAGUACGGCCGCAAGGUUGAAACUCAAAGGAAUUGACGGGG